rnacentral:rRNA from 1 species
UACGAGGGGGGCAAGUGUUGUUCGGAAUUACUGGGCGUAAAGGGAGCGUAGGCGGGCUCUUAAGUUGGAUGUUUAAACCGGGGCCUAACCCCGGCGUGGCAUCCAAAACUGGGAGUCUUGAAUGGGACAGAGGCCAGUGGAAUUAGAGGUGUAGCGGUGGAAUGCGUAGAUAUCUCUAAGAACACCAGUUGCGAAGGCGGCUGGCUGGGUCCACAUUGACGCUGAGGCUCGAAAGCGUGGGGAGCAAACAGG